UUAAGCAUAUUACUAAGCGGAGGAAAAGAAACCAACGGGGAUUCCCAUAGUAACUGCGAGUGAAAUGGGAAGAGCCCAGCGCUGAAUCCGAGUGCCGGCAACGGUGCUUGGAGCUGUAGCGUGAAGGUGGUCCUAAUCCGUGCGACUGGCUGGCGUAAGUUCUCCUGAGUGAGGCUCCAUGCUAGGAAGGGUGCAAGCCCCGUGUCGCUAGUGGUUUGUGCGGAUUGAAGGCUACCAGAGAGUCGCCUUGUUUGCGAGUACAAGGUGAAGUCGGUGGUAAACGCCAUCGAAGGCUAAAUAUGACCACGAGUCCGAUAGCGAACAAGUACAGUGAUGGAAAAUUGAAAAGAACUUUGAAGAGAGAGUGAAACAGUGCGUGAAACCGCUCAGAGGCAAGCAGAUGGGGCCUCGAAGGCAAAGCGGCGAAUUCAGUUGGUAGCCCGCUGUCUUCGGCUGGGAUGUGAGAUUGCAAAACUCUGCCUGGUCGCGGGUGGUGGCUGCUGAUGCACUUUCGCCGCUUGUACGCCCCCGCCGUUGACGUUUAGCAUCCGCCUAGCUUGCAAUGUGGAGCCCUUUUCCCUCGGGAGUCGGUGUCUCACGGCGAGUGUGGCGCGUUUGUUCGUCAACCGGUCAGGUCGGCAUGUGCCAGCGUUAAGCGUUGGGUCCAGUGCUCUGUUGCGGCGUAGUGGUUGACGGUCGCAAGUCCGGCUUCUGUUGCACGUAGUAGAAUCGCGAAGACUUUCAACGUGGCACAUUGUAGAUUCG
rnacentral:rRNA from 1 species